UUUCUUAAAGGUGAUGAUGAGCUGGUAU
rnacentral:sRNA from 1 species